GAUGAACGCUGGCGGCGUGCCUAAUACAUGCAAGUCGAGCGAACAGAUGAGGAGCUUGCUCCUCUGACGUUAGCGGCGGACGGGUGAGUAACACGUGGAUAACCUACCUAUAAGACUGGGAUAACUUCGGGAAACCGGAGCUAAUACCGGAUAAUAUAUUGAACCGCAUGGUUCAAUAGUGAAAGACGGGUUUGCUGUCACUUAUAGAUGGAUCCGCGCCGCAUUAGCUAGUUGGUAAGGUAACGGCUUACCAAGGCAACGAUGCGUAGCCGACCUGAGAGGGUGAUAGGCCACACUGGAACUGAGACACGGUCCAGACGCCUACGGGAGGCAGCAGUAGGGAAUCUUCCGCAAUGGGCGAAAGCCUGACGGAGCAACGCCGCGUGAGUGAUGAAGGUCUUCGGAUCGUAAAACUCUGUUAUUAGGGAAGAACAAAUGUGUAAGUAACUAUGCACGUCUUGACGGUACCUAAUCAGAAAGCCACGGCUAACUACGUG
rnacentral:rRNA from 1 species